rnacentral:rRNA from 1 species
GAUGAACGCUGGCGGCGUGCCUAAUACAUGCGAGUCGAGCGAACAGACGAGGAGCUUGCUCCUCUGACGUUAGCGGCGGACGGGUGAGUAACACGUGGAUAACCUACCUAUAAGACUGGGAUAACUUCGGGAAACCGGAGCUAAUACCGGAUAAUAUAUUGAACCGCAUGGUUCAAUAGUGAAAGACGGUUUUGCUGUCACUUAUAGAUGGAUCCGCGCCGCAUUAGCUAGUUGGUAAGGUAACGGCUUACCAAGGCAACGAUGCGUAGCCGACCUGGGAGGGUGAUCGGCCACACUGGAACUGAGACACGGUCCAGACUCCUACGGGAGGCAGCAGUAGGGAAUCUUCCGCAAUGGGCGAAAGCUUGACGGAGCAACGCCGCGUGAGUGAUGAAGGUCUUCGGAUCGUAAAACUCUGUUAUUAGGGAAGAACAAAUGUGUAAGUAACUAUGCACGUCUUGACGGUACCUAAUCAGAAAGCCACGGCUAACUACGUG